AGCGAACGCUGGCGGCAGGCUUAACACAUGCAAGUCGAACGGGCGUAGCAAUACGUCAGUGGCAGACGGGUGAGUAACACGUGGGAACGUACCUCUUGGUUCGGAACAACACAGGGAAACUUGUGCUAAUACCGGAUAAGCCCUUACGGGGAAAGAUUUAUCGCCGAGAGAUCGGCCCGCGUCUGAUUAGCUAGUUGGUAGGGUAAUGGCCUACCAAGGCGACGAUCAGUAGCUGGUCUGAGAGGAUGAUCAGCCACAUUGGGACUGAGACACGGCCCAAACUCCUACGGGAGGCAGCAGUGGGGAAUAUUGGACAAUGGGGGCAACCCUGAUCCAGCCAUGCCGCGUGAGUGAUGAAGGCCCUAGGGUUGUAAAGCUCUUUUGUGCGGGAAGAUAAUGACGGUACCGCAAGAAUAAGCCCCGGCUAACUUCGUGCCAGCCGCCGCGGUAA
rnacentral:rRNA from 1 species